rnacentral:tRNA from 1 species
UAUCCAGGGAAGGGAAUCGAACCCACAGUGUUCCGUUUACCGGGCAGAUGCCAUGUCCACUAGGUUAACCUGGAC